GGAUCAUUACCAGAGUGCCCUAGGCUCUCCAACCCAUUGUGAACAUACCUAUCGUUCCCUCGGCGGGCUCAGCGCGCGGUGCCUCCGGGCUCCGGGCGUCCGCCGGGGACAACCAAACUCUGAUUUUAUUGUGAAUCUCUGAGGGGCGAAAGCCCGAAAACAAAAUGAAUCAAAACUUUCAACAACGGAUCUCUUGGCUCUGGCAUCGAUGAAGAACGCAGCGAAAUGCGAUAAGUAAUGUGAAUUGCAGAAUUCAGUGAAUCAUCGAAUCUUUGAACGCACAUUGCGCCCGCCGGCACUCCGGCGGGCAUGCCUGUCCGAGCGUCAUUUCAACCCUCAGGACCCCCUUUCGGGGGGGACCUGGUGCUGGGGAUCAGCGGCCUCCGGGCCCCUGUCCCCCAAAUUGAGUGGCGGUCGCGCCGCAGCCUCCCCUGCGUAGUAGCACACCUCGCACCGGAGAGCGGCUCGGCCACGCCGUGAAACCCCCAAUUUUUUAAGGUUGACCUCGGAUCAGGUAGGAAUACCCGCUGAACUUAAGCAUAUCAAUAAGCGGAGGAAAAGAAACCAACAGGGAUUGCCUCAGUAACGGCGAGUGAAGCGGCAACAGCUCAAAUUUGAAAUCUGGCCGCAAGGUCCGAGUUGUAAUUUGUAGAGGAUGCUUNUGGCGANGUGCCUUCCGAGUUCCCUGGAACGGGACGCCAUAGAGGGUGAGAGCCCCGUCCGGUCGUGCACCUAGCCUCUGUGAAGCUCCUUCGACGAGUCGAGUAGUUUGGGAAUGCUGCUCUAAAUGGGAGGUAUACGUCUUCUAAAGCUAAAUACCGGCCAGAGACCGAUAGCGCACAAGUAGAGUGAUCGAAAGAUGAAAAGCACUUUGAAAAGAGGGUUAAAUAGUACGUGAAAUUGCUGAAAGGGAAGCGCUUAUGACCAGACUUGGGCUCGGUGAAUCAUCCGGCGUUCUCGCCGGUGCACUUUGCCGUCCCAGGCCAGCAUCAGUUCGCGCCGGGGGAUAAAGGUUUCGGGAAUGUAGCUCCCUCGGGAGUGUUAUAGCCCGUUGCGUAAUACCCUGGCGUGGACUGAGGUCCGCG
rnacentral:misc_RNA from 1 species